GACGAACGCUGGCGGCGUGGAUUAGGCAUGCAAGUCGGACGGUAGGGCUUUAUCGUAAGAUAGAGUUUGAGAGUGGCGAACGGGGUGAGUAACACGUAGGAAUCUACCCUUAAGACGGGGACAACCCAGGGAAACUUGGGCUAAUACCGGAUGAGAGUGCGAGAGAUUGCAUUUAAAAAGGAUGGCGAAAGUUGUCGCUUAGGGAUGAGCCUGCGGUCUAUUAGUUAGUUGGUGAGGUAAGAGCUCACCAAGGCGAUGAUAGAUAGGCGGCCUUAACGGGUGGUCGCCCACACUGGGAUUGAGAUACGGCCCAGACUCCUACGGGAGGCAGCAGCUAAGAAUAUUCCGCAAAUGGACGAAAGUCUGACGGAGCGACGCCGCGUGGAUGAAGAAGGCCGAAAGGUUGUAAAGUUCUUUUGCUAGGGGAGAAUAAGUGAGGGAGGGAAUGCCCUAUGAUGACAAGGACUAGCGAAUAAGCCCCGGCCAACUACGUGCCAGCAGCCGCGGUAAGCACG
rnacentral:rRNA from 1 species